rnacentral:lncRNA from 1 species
GAUCCCCAGGGACUGUCCAAAGUCUCCCGGGCUUCUAAGGACUCAACCUGGAAUAGCGAUGGAUUUCUAUUCUCCAGGGCCGCGUCAGCCUCAUGCUUGCGGGAUCUAGGCGCUCCACAUACUCUGGAACAGCAGUGUAGUCUGACCAACUUCACUCCGACAGUUUCCAGUUCAAACGGGUGGGGGAACCUGUGGGCAGAGGCCUGGGAAAAGAGAAAUAGUUUGUACAGGCCGGGUAUGGGAGAAAUACUGGAACCUGGAACCUCUUUCUUUCCUACGAACCCAAAUGAGAGACGGGAUGCAGCAUCUAGCCCCUGGAGCUUUUUUGUUACCCUCGAGAGACAGACUCCUGAAAAGUCAGAGCACAGGAGUGCCAGAGAGAUACACAAUGGCCAGUAAAAUCAUCAGAGAAAGAUUGUUAGAGUUUAGAAGCAUAUGGAAUUGAGAGUUUACCAAGUCCAACCCCUUCAUCUUACAAAUGAGGAAACUGAGGCUGAAGGAAAUGAAGGUUUGCUCAAGAUCACACGACUGGUAAGUCAUAGAGCCAGAAUCCCCCUCCCCCUUUGAUCGUGUGACUCCAAAUACAAUGAUCUUUUUGCUAAACCACACCACCUCUAGUAGGAGAAAAGAGGCAACGUGUGAAGUUCAGAAAAUGUGCAGACACGACAAUCGACACCCAUAGAAUGCAGCAUUCACUGACAGGACACCGCACUCUCAGGUCCCCAGCAGCAGCAACUCCUGAGCUCUAGAAGGAUAAGGGAAAGAAUCCUGGAGCCUCGUGUCUGAAGAGAAGAAUAGAUUGUAGAAGAAAAAAGAUUCAAAUGUGUAAUAAAACUUGGAUUGCUAAACUGUCUUUGGUCA